AGCCCUGCCUGGGGGCUGCCGCAAGGCGCUAUCAGGACGUGGAUUAGUCGGGCAGUGCCACGGUUCGAGAAAACCCCGACAGCC
rnacentral:ncRNA from 1 species